CCGCCCGUAGCUCAAUGGUAGAGCAACUGCCUCUUAAGCAGCAGGUUGUAGGUUCGACUCCUACCGGGCGGA
rnacentral:tRNA from 1 species